GAAGGAGCUUCUCCUUCGGGAGCAGAGUGACAGGUGGUGCAUGGUUGUCGUCAGCUCGUGUCGUGAGAUGUUGGGUUAAGUCCCGCAACGAGCGCAACCCUUGAUCUUAGUUGCCAUCAUUAAGUUGGGCACUCUAAGGUGACUGCCGGUGACAAACCGGAGGAAGGUGGGGAUGACGUCAAAUCAUCAUGCCCCUUAUGACCUGGGCUACACACGUGCUACAAUGGACGGUACAAAGAGCUGCAAGACCGCGAGGUGGAGCUAAUCUCAUAAAACCGUUCUCAGUUCGGAUUGUAGGCUGCAACUCGCCUACAUGAAGCUGGAAUCGCUAGUAAUCGCGGAUCAGCAUGCCGCGGUGAAUACGUUCCCGGGCCUUGUACACACCGA
rnacentral:rRNA from 1 species